rnacentral:rRNA from 1 species
AGCGAACGCUGGCGGCAGGCCUAACACAUGCAAGUCGAACGAACCUUUCGGGGUUAGUGGGGGACGGGUGAGUAACACGUGGGAACGUGCCUUUAGGUUCGGAAUAACUCAGGGAAACUUGUGCUAAUACCGAAUGUGCCCUUCGGGGGAAAGAUUUAUCGCCUUUAGAGCGGCCCGCGUCUGAUUAGCUAGUUGGUUGAGGUAAUGGCUCACCAAGGCGACGAUCAGUAGCUGGUCCGAGAGGAUGAUCAGCCACAUUGGGACUGAGACACGGCCCAAACUCCUACGGGAAGCAGCAGUGGGGAAUCUUGCGCAAUGGGCGAAAGCCUGACGCAGCCAUGCCGCGUGAAUGAUGAAGGUCUUAGGAUUGUAAAAUUCUUUCACCGGGGACGAUAAUGACGGUACCCGGAGAAGAAGCCCCGGCUAACUUCGUG